AUAUAGGUUCAGGUUCGCUGUUUGGAGUAGGAUACACCUAGAUAGAAUCUAUUGAUCUUGGUAGAAAAGAAGAAGUCUUAUGUAAUUUAUAAGAUUGAGUUCAGAAAAAUCUCUGGCCAGAGUAAGUGUGAAUAUUAGAAAAGAAUUUUUAUGAGAUUCACAAAUGAACUCGAGUCGAGCCAAUCUAACAUAUGACUGACGAUGGAGAUUGACGAGUUCUCCAUGACCUCCAUCA
rnacentral:lncRNA from 1 species